rnacentral:rRNA from 1 species
UCGAGCGCCCCGCAAGGGGAGCGGCGGACGGGUGAGUAACGCGUGGGAAUUUUCCUCAAGGUACGGAACAACUCAGGGAAACUUGGGCUAAUACCGUAUGAUGUCUAGCGACCAAAGAUUUAUCGCCUUGGGAUAAGCCCGCGUCAGAUUAGGUAGUUGGUGGGGUAACGGCCUACCAAGCCUGCGAUCUGUAGCUGGCCUGAGAGGACGAUCAGCCACAUUGGGACUGAGACACGGCCCAA